GUGUGGUUUGGUGUGAUGUGAAUGUGGUAGUUGGGUGCUGUGGUAGUGCGUUUGUGCUAUUGGUGUGGUAGUGUUGAGGUGUGGUGGUGUUUGUUGUUGGUAGUAAUGGUGGUAUGACUAUUGUGAUGGUGGUGAACGAGUAGCGGUGUGGACGAAUGGCGGCAAUGAAAAGUGGAAAGUGUUUUGAAUAUGUAGUAUAUGG
rnacentral:lncRNA from 1 species